GACGAACGCUGGCGGCGUGCUUAACACAUGCAAGUCGAACGGAAAGGCCCUGCUUGCAGGGUACUCGAGUGGCGAACGGGUGAGUAACACGUGGGUGAUCUGCCCUGCACUUCGGGAUAAGCCUGGGAAACUGGGUCUAAUACCGGAUAGGAGCCAUUUUUAGUGUGAUGGUUGGAAAGUUUUUUCGGUGUAGGAUGAGCUCGCGGCCUAUCAGCUUGUUGGUGGGGUAAUGGCCUACCAAGGCGGCGACGGGUAGCCGGCCUGGGAGGGUGGACGGCCACAUUGGGACUGAGAUACGGCCCAGACUCCUACGGGAGGCAGCAGUGGGGAAUAUUGCACAAUGGGCGCAAGCCUGAUGCAGCGACGCCGCGUGGGGGAUGACGGCCUUCGGGUUGUAAACUCCUUUCGCUAGGGACGAAGCUUUUUGUGACGGUACCUAGAGAAGAAGCACCGGCUAACUACGUG
rnacentral:rRNA from 1 species